UACGGGGGGGCAAGCGUUGUUCGGAAUUACUGGGCGUAAAGGGCUCGUAGGCGGCCAACUAAGUCAGACGUGGAAAUCCCUCGGCUUAACCGGGAACUGCGUCUGCAUACUGGAUGGCUUGAGUUUGGGAGAGGGAUGCGGAAUUCCAGGUGUAGCGGUGAAAUGCGUAGAUAUCUGGAGGAACACCGGUGGCGAAGGCGGCAUCCUGGACCAACACUGACGCUGAGUGAGCGAAAGCCAGGGGAGCAAACGGGAUUAAGAAACCCCGGGUAGCC
rnacentral:rRNA from 1 species